UACAGAGGUCUCGAGCGUUGUUCGGAUUCAUUGGGCGUAAAGGGUGCGUAGGUGGCGCCGUAAGUCGGGUGUGAAAUUUCGGAGCUUAACUCCGAAACUGCAUUCGAUACUGCGGUGCUUGAGGACUGGAGAGGAGACUGGAAUUCAUGGUGUAGCAGUGAAAUGCGUAGAGAUCAUGAGGAAGACCAGUGGCGAAGGCGGGUCUCUGGGACGGUACUGACGCUGAGACGCGAAAGCGUGGGGAGCGAACAGG
rnacentral:rRNA from 1 species